rnacentral:rRNA from 1 species
AUGAGAGCUCUAUUCUGGAAUGUUCGUGGUUUCGGUGCUAGGGGGCGCCGAGACCAGAUUCAUGACUUGGUUUGUGGAGAGCAUAUGGACAUUUUAGGGCUGGUUGAAACGUUUAAGGAAUCCUUCUCCUCUCCCGAACUGUCUGCGGUGGCUGACAUGGACAGGUUCGACUGGCACUUUCUCCCUGCUUCGGGCCAUUUUGGGGGCAUUCUAAUAGGGUCCAAGCGGGACGUGUUUGACUUCAUUACCUUUGAUCAUGGCAUCUUUUGGGCUAGUUGUGUGGUUCAUCAUCGCCAACUGAACACUCUAUGGGAAUUUAUGGUGGUAUACGGCCCCGCGGAUCACUCUCUUGCCCCUCUAUUUUUGGACGAACUGUCGAUUAAGAUUGAAGCCUGUAACAUUCCUCUUCUAAUUGGGGGCGAUUUCAAUUUGUUACGAUCACCGGCGGAUAGGAAUAGUCCUAAUUUUUCUUAG